rnacentral:lncRNA from 1 species
AUAGGUACUCUUCUUUUUCUUUUCUUGAUGAUUUAUUCCAAGACCCAAAUUGUGAUCCUUGAUAUUGCAGAAAAAUGCUAUCAAAUAUGAUUGAUGAGGCUGCAAUUAGGUUGGAAUGAGGUUGCUGAGACAUAAAAAACCUUGACUUUGCAGCCACAAUUGUGGUCUCAAACCCUUUGUAGAACCAUGCAGUAUAGUUGAAAAGUUAUAAUUUGAAAGCAUUGCAUUCAAAUUAUGGUAAAACAAAUCUGUACACUGAUGUGAAUGAAAAAAAAAAUAUAUAUAGGAAUCAAUGAAAAGUAAGUCAAACAAAUGUACCUCAUUCUUAUGCACCCCAGCUUCAAACCUUGCUCAUGCUUAGCCAUGUACAUAUCAGCUGCAAUAUCUGCAGAUUUUUUCAGUUUUAAUUUAUUCUGAGUAUAAACAAAUUUAAACCAGGCUUGCGUUGUUAAUAACAUUAAUUGUUGUAAUGAAAUCAUCGUUGCAGCUG